rnacentral:rRNA from 1 species
UACGUAGGGGCUAGCGUUAUCCGGAUUUACUGGGUGUAAAGGGCGUGUAGGCGGGUCUGCAAGUCAGAUGUGAAAUCUCCGGGCUUAACUCGGAAGGGUCAUCUGAAACUACGGAUCUUGAGUACUGGAGAGGAUAGUGGAAUUCCUAGUGUAGCGGUAAAAUGCGUAGAUAUCAGGAGGAACACCGGUGGCGAAGGCGGCUUCCUGGACCAAUACUGACGCUGAGGCGCGAAAGCAUGGGUAGCGAACAGGAUUAGAUACCCUGGUAGU